GGUUUCCUCUUAGAUCUCAGCGCAAACUUUAAUUUUAAUUAAGAUACUCUCAACUAACUACAC
rnacentral:tRNA from 1 species